CUUGGUUGCGGGCACAUCCCCAGCAUGGGGUGUGCAGGAGGCAGCUGAUCAAUGUUUCUCUCUCAUCGAUGUUUCUAGCUCUCUAUCCCUCUCCCUUCCUCUCUGUAAAAAAAUCAAUAUAUUAAAAAAAGGAUUUUCCCCAAUAAGUAUAACAUCAUUUGCCCUUCACAUUAUAUAAUAUGAUUUAACAAAAGUUUAUUAUUCUGAUUGUUAGUUCUUUAGUAUAGAAAGUGUUCCAGAGCUGAGGACUUCAUCCCCUAGUGAUUAGGGCUGGGACCACAAUAAAAUAAUCCUCCCAAAACAGUUAUUUUAGGGAGAUGGCAACUUCCCACUUUAGAAACUAUGUUAUGUUGUCCAUUUUAGUUAGUAACCUUUGAAAUCUAGAUUAUCAGAAUGAUAAGCCUUGAUGGAAAUCUUGUCAGUUUCACUAAUUUGAAUUGCAGUUUUUCCCUUCCCUAAUCAAAUCUAAUAUAUGCUUGUGCAUUGGACCCAAGUUCUUAUCUGGGUUUCCUACUUAAUUUUUUUAUGUGGAAUGGAAAGGGGUUCUAUUGGUAUUUCCUGGAGAGGAAUAAUAGGUUCUCUGAAAUGAGUAUUUGUUAACAGAUAUGUCACAGCUCUUCUGGAAUUGUACUGUCCUUUUUUUUUAAAGUCAUUUCCGUUGUAUAUUUCCAAGGGCCACUGCAAAGGCAGCAGCAGCCCCGUGUUAAUCUGGUCAGGUACAAGAGCACAGCUCAAUCCCAGUGUCCUUGGCAGUAAGAUUAAGGAUACAGGUAGUGAGAGAGAGGGGCCCAUGUGGUUAGGAAAGGGCAGAUUUCUGAAAAUAGCCACCCAAAAGCUUGUAUAUAUCGGUGGUACCAUAAACCAGAAUGGCAAAGGCGCUCUCUCCCUUUUCCAGUGUUCAUUGGGAUAGCAGGGGCUGCAUUUUAGACAGCAUCCCUUUGUUAGAUACAGGAUGAGCCAGAAGUAGGUUUACAGUUGUGUGGAAAAUAUUGUUUCCUGUACUCCUACUUUUGCCCAACCCUGCAUAUUCAACCAAAUAGAGGUCUGCAGGGAAAACGGGAUUUUUUUUUUUACCUCCUUAUAAUGAGAGAUUCCCAUCAGGAGACCAACAAAAGUCACUGCUGAGCUGACAAACGUUCGGUAGUCGGACAUGCUCCAUCCAAACAGCAGGUUAAACUGAAAAGAGGAAGAAAGACGCGUCGGGGUGGAGAGCAGUGGAGGCCAUUGCAGUUAUUUCUGUCUUGAGGUGCUUGAUAACGAUGAGGUCAACAUAGAACGAAUGGAGUAAGGAAAUUCUGUAGUGGCUAUUUCAAUUACUAUGCCUAAGAAAUACAUAAAAUUCCUUGGUAAUUACACAGUAUUUUCAUAUAAAUUGGACCUUCAUUCCUGUGAGCUAAAUUUUAUCCCCACUUCAGAGAUGAGACAAAUGUGUGAAUUUAAGUCCUGUUCAGUAUGGAACUACAACCAAAACCAGCUUUCUUACUCCACUACUUUUUCUCCAAAACUCAGUGCCAACUUGAACUGAUGAGUUUCCAUAUAGUGAUCUUUUCUAAGGGAGGCAAAGUGACUCCAAGACCAUAGGCCCCAGGAAAGACAGACACUGAAUGAGGCUCACAGCCAUGGCGUAGCCUGUCAGCAGGAUCACAAUGACCAGCAGGAAGCCCACCACCUCAUCCCAGGCUUUGCCGGCGACCCUAAACAGACAGCACCGUCACUGCUGCUUGCCUGAACUGUUAGCUGCGUCUCCCCUAAUGAAAUGUCAGGAACACUGGCAAAGCGCGCUCAGCUGGGGACUUCGAUCUGACCUGGGCACAAUGUUAUAGUCUCAGUUCUGCUCUGUAGUCACUCAGCUGCUGCUUACGAAAAGAUGGCCUUCUCUAAUACAGCUUUCACUGGGUACAGUCGUUUUUCUCAUUGCUUAAACUUAAUAAAAAAAGUUUCUAAGUUAGUUAUCAAGCCUGAAAAUAAAGAAAACGCUGUGGCUUAAGAUAUGUUAUCUUUUGAGUACAGCAUCUGUAUUUUGAGUACUUGCUCUGUUCAUCGUGCUUUCAGUCUUGCUGUUGCUUUAUAGUUUAUAGGGUUAAUAACACUGCACACAAAAUAAUCUUUAUACAGACCUACUUCUUUAACUCUUGAAAACUGAAAGAGCUACUUUGUGGAAAACUAAGCCUUUAACUGAAGUCAAGUUUCUGGAAAAGACCAAAUCAGCUAUACUUCAAGCAAUAAUAGCUCAUUGUGUAGCUCCCCAAAGAAUACCUGGCAAGCCUGAGAAUUUUCAACUCACCUGUAUGAAGCCGUAGUAACAGACUAGUAGAUAAUAGAUGACUUGUGAGGCAACAGACCAGGCAAAGUCCUUCCUUGAUGUCUGAAGGGAAGUUAAAGUGUCCAGUCUUACAGAGGCGAAGAAAGCACCUGAAAAUAACAUGGAGUCAUGAGUCUUUAGAACUUUUCCUUCAAACUCUGUCUUUGAAAUAACCCCAACUGUCAUUCUGUUUUUUGUUUCAAAUGUUCUUGAGUUUCUAAGCUCAGUAUUUCCUCUAGAGGUGUAAUGAAUAUUAAAUGAAAUCAUGUGCAAA